UUCAUAGACUUGGAUGAAAUACAGGGAGACGAGAAUCUAGACUCACCCUGAAACAGGAUGGCACCUGGAGCUUAGCUGCUUCCUGUGGGGGCUCACUCCUGGUCAUGACCUUGUUGUAUCUGAAAACUCAGGGUAGACUUGAUCGCCCUCCUUACGCCCUGAGACAUUGAGUGUCGGGCAGCCCUAGACAGAAGCCCCAGGGCUGUUUCCACCCGGUUCUUCUAAGAGUUGGGAGAAGGACCAAGGCCAUUUCCACUGCUGGCUGGAAGCAGCCUCCACUUUGGUCUGACCUUUGCCCUCCUGUUUCUGGAGAAUGUUGAUUGAAGUCGCUGCUCCUCAGGUUGGGGGAGCAUAUUGUUUGGGGCAUCACAAGGACAAGGAAAGAAAAGGUGUUUCUGUAUCUGGGGCUCACUCUACCUGCCAGCACCUCGCAGCCCUGGUGGGCGUCCUGGGGGACAGGGGAGGUCGGGCUGGCUUUGUGGUUCUGCCUUGCUGUGUCUUCAGCACAUUAACUGAACAUGAGCAAUUGUUUCCAUUGCUGAGACCCAUCAUGAAAUGAGCACAACAGGACCAUUUGCUUUGGCAGAUAUUAGGAUCUUUGGGGGAAGGAGGGUCUUUUGAACAAAACAGGGACCUGAUUCUUGAGGUCCGGGUGACUUUUGAGGUCUGUUUUCCUGUAAUAAGCUAGUCAGUUACUGUAAUGUCGUUUCUUCAGUGAGUUACCCUGAAGUGUCUUCCACAGGGGCCAGCCUUUAUCCGCAGAACGAGGACUGGAGCAAUCUGAUCAUCUGUUCAGUGAAAAGCACUUUAUUAAAUGCUUCUCAUGGGCAAGACCAGACUGUUCAAGAGCCUCCCAAGAGGUCUCCCUGCCUUGGCUGUGCCUCCUCACCGGCUUGCGGUUCUUGCGACAAAGUGAGCUUUAAAGCAAUUGAAGGCAGUCCCCUGCUGGACCCCCUCCACGGACGGGACAUUACAGCUGGGAUAGGGUUCCAACUGCCAGCUGUGACAGGAGCGCCAGAGGCCUCAGUGCAGCAGGACCCCUCAGGAAGGAGACACUGAGGCAGGAGCCACAAAGGCCUCACUGGAGCGGGACGCCUUUGGAAGGAAAAGAGAGGAGGGCAGGGAGGCUGAAGGAGCUGUCACACUGAUGGGCCAGCAGGUACGAUGUGCUCUCCGGACAGGACCCUUGCUGCCAGGGUCCUAUCUGGGCAGGAACAAUGGGUUCUUGCCCACUCCCUUGCUUGGUCUUUGGCAAGGAGCCAACUGAGAAAAGUGUGCCCCUGCAGUUUCCCCAGCUCAGCGAGAUCACUGGCCCCCAGCCCUUCCUGCCUUGAGAGUGGUGUCACUCAGCUGGAAAGCCAGGUGGCCUCUGAGGAGGCUCUCAGCUCUCCUUGCUUCUUGCAGCUGAGCAGCAAGUCUCCUUGAAGCACACCUGAGGGAGGCAUCCCCAUGCCCGCCACGGUCCACCCCUGCCCCAUGUUGAUCUUCUUUUCCAUAAAUGUGUGGAGAGCAGCUCCUCCAAGGUUCCGGAAACUUCCCUUCCUGAGGAGAAAUUUAAAAAGAAGAGUUCGAUGGGAGCGACGACAGCACAUCCUGCAGUGGGUCUCCAGGCCACCACUGGUACUCAUGCCCCUCUUUUCUGAAUUCCUUUUCCCUCAGCGGUCACCUCUGCGGAUCUCGGCAGCUUUCCUGAGACUGUGACCGAGCUCUCGUUCCUGGGGAUUCUGAGAUCCUGGGCUGCUGCGCUGUCCAUUCAGUUAUAAUUAGGCCAGGAGUAUGGGAGGUGCCCCACGCAGGUCCCCUGAGUCCCACACAUCCUGUGACAACAGGCUCACCACCUUCUGCAGUUCAGGAUCAAUUACCCCAGACAAGACGUGACUUUUCUUGGCGGCUGGUCCCUGGACACAAGGAGACAAGAGCCCAGGUGGCAGCAGGGGUUGAAGCUCA
ensembl:lncRNA